rnacentral:misc_RNA from 1 species
AACUGCGAUAAGUAAUGUGAAUUGCAGAAUUCAGUGAAUCAUCGAGUCUUUGAACGCACAUUGCGCCCCCUGGCAUUCCGGGGGGCAUGCCUGUCCGAGCGUCAUUGCUGCCCUUCAAGCCCGGUUUGUGUGUUGGGUCGUCGUCCCCUCCGGGGGACGGGCCCGAAAGGCAGCGGCGGCACCGCGUCCGGUCCUCGAGCGUAUGGGGCUUUGUCACCCGCUCGAUAAGGACCGGCCGGGCGCCAGCCGGCGUCUCCAACCUUUUUUUCUCAGGUUGACCUCGGAUCAGGUAGGGAUACCCGCUGAACUUAAGC